ensembl:lncRNA
GUAAUAAUGAGAGCCAGGUGUGUGUAAUGAUGAGUGCCAGGUGUGUGUAAUGAUGAGUGCCAGGUGGGUGUAUUAAUGAGAGCCAGGUGUGUGUAAUGAUGAGUGCCAGGUGUACGUAAUGAUGAGUGCCAGGUGUGCGUAAUAAUGAGAGCCAGGUGUGCGUAAUAAUGAGUGCCAGGUGGGUGUAAUGAUGAGUGCCAGGUGGGUGUAAUGAUGAGUGCCAGGUGUGUGUAAUGAUGAGUGCCAGGUGUGUGUAAUGAUGGGUGCCAGGUGUGUGUAAUGAUGAGUGCCAGGUGUGUGUAAUGAUGAGUGCCAGGUGUGUGUAAUGAUGAGUGCCAGGUGGGUGUAAUGAUGAGUGCCAGGUGUGUGUAAUGAUGAGUGCCAGGUGUGUGUAAUGAUGAGUGGUGCCAGGUGUGCGUAAUGAUGAUUCCCAGGACAGGUGGUUAGU